UGGGAGAGAUUUCUGUAUAGUUGAUCCCAAUGGAGGCAGAAACACCAAAAUCUGAGCAGUCUCAGUCUCAGCUGAGGAACAAUUUAUGUGGAGAGAGAGAGAGAGAGAGAGAGAGAGAGAGAGAGAGAGAGAGAGAGANNNNNNNNNNNNNNNNNNNNGAGAGAGAGAGAGAAGAGAUCUUGUAACAUCUCGGAAAUUCAAUUUUCUAUUUUUAAAAGGAAAAUAUUUUUUGAGCUAUUUUUGUUUCAAUUUCUAUUAUUCUUUAAACUUUUAGUAGUUUCUGAAAAUUAUUUAAAUUUUAGUUUGUUAAAUUUUGUCUUUCGAGCCCAUUGGAUUAAGGUAGAGGUCGUUACGAGUUCGUAAGAUUUUAUGGAAGCGUUUUCAGACAUCAGACCUAUUUUUAAUGAUUUUUAAAAAUUGGUAUUAACCAAAAAUUUUAUUAAAAAUAGAAAUUAAAGAGGUUUAAUUUGGAGUGUCCAUUUUAUGAACCGCUCAAUCUGGGCCGUCUAUUUUGGACUAUAUAUUAAUGUGGAUCAGCUUGGACUCAAUUAGAUCGAGCCCAAAGUGACUUCGUCUCCAGCCUCUCGGCAACGACGGAGCGCCGAUUGCUCCACCGCCAUUCAACGGGUUCCCGGCGCAAAGCUUAUGUCUCCUGCUUCGUCUCAACUUCGUGGAAGUCCCUGUACGUGGUUUCCGUUCAAAGAGUGGAGCUCCAGUGACAAAGAAAAGGAGGAGAGAAAGUGAUUGUGUUUCCAAUUCCGGCCACGGCGACGAGUAAGGUUGGUGCUUUAGCUUCGCCUCAACUCGGCAAACGUCUCUGUGGUCUUUGUUUUACAAGACGAGCUCUGAGGAGGGAGAAUCGAAAGGAGGAAGGUUUUUGAGUUUCCCGGCGUUGUUCUUCGUUUUCCUGCGAGCUUCAAAUUCAGUUCAAGUAUCAAAGUUAGUCAAUUCUUCAACCUCUAUCUCUCUGUAUACUUGAAUUCAAGUUUGGUAAAGUUUUGGAGAGAUUGAGAUUUUGGGCAGGUCGUCGACCACUGUAUUGUGUGCGGUGGCGGUGCUGACCUCCUCAGCUCGUCCUUGAUUCAGUUUUUGUUCAUAAAUAUGGAUUGAUGAUUAGUAUGCUUUUCUAGAAUUGUUGAAAUUACAGAAAUGGAGAAUUGGAGAAGUUGGGAUUUUAAGUCUUCGGCGACAGAAACGGCGGUGUGGCAGUGUUUUGGUGUUUGUUUGGUAAUUUCCAAUCGAAUGAAACUACAGGAAUGAUUUUGAUAUUGUUAUGCUUGAAUUCUAGUUUUGUUAACGGAUGAAGAAUCUGACUUUUGGGCAGUGAGUUUAGCAUGAUGGAAGCAUGCAUGCUGAAUUGGAGUUGAGUCGGUUGUUGUGGCGCAAUAUGGAUACUACACGGAUUUAAGUGCAAAGACGAAUUAGGAUGUGGACGUAAAAUGAAUUGAGUAGGUUGAUUGGGAAAUUAUUGAAAAAGGUGAGAGGAUAUAAGACAUAGGUAUUUGGGUGUCCACAUCAAUUCCGAGAACUUGAUCGAUUCAUAUUUUGGAAAUAAGAGAUUUAGUUGAUAUGAAGUAAUUCGCCAACUUUAUUGGAAUAACGAUGUGUGGAUCGGAGGUGUGUUGCCAUCGUAGAAGCAGAAUGAUAAAGAUUUCAUAAUGCGCGUAGUUGCGUUACUAAUUUCAGUUAGCGUCGGAGCUAAAGCUCAGAUUCCAGAUAGGGUCUCUCGGGGAACUUUUCUAUAAAUUGAUAAUUAGAUUAUUAUUGAAAUCGGUGAAUUGUAUGCCAUUGAGUGUUAACUCUUGAAUGUUAUUGUUUUUGUUAAAAGCAUGUGAUAUCGGUGAUUUAUAUUUUCUAUAAAUUGAUAAUUAGAUUAUUAUUGAAAUCGGUGAAUUGUAUGCCAUUGAGUGUUAACUCUUGAAUGUUAUUGUUUUUGUUAAAAGCAUGUGAUAUCGGUGAUUUAUAUGAUUGUUGUUAUCGCUUUCAAUAAAAGCAUGUGUUCGAUAUUAUAAUGCGAGUGUUGAUAUUCAUUGACAUGCAUAAUGCAUUAUGAGGAAUUGUGAGAAAUAGUGAGAAUAGUGAUUUUGGAGAGGAGAAUGAGAUUGAUAGAAAAGAUAUAUUUUGUGUAGUUGAGUUUCCUCAUGGGGACUUCUAGUAGCUAUGAUUAGCUCACCUGCGCAAAUGAGUGGGAAAAGUAUGCCCCUUCGACAUAUGAGUCGAUAAAACGAUCUUUCGGGUUUCGAGAUUGGGGACCAUGAGGUUAACAAAAUGACUAAUAAAAGAGGUACUAGAGUUUGUAUAUUACUGAUUUGUUAUGUCGUAUAUUUAAGACAUCUACACGGUAUAGGACGUGUAGGUACAUAUGUCUUGGGUGUAUAGACUAAUUAGCUAGUAAUCGAGUGGAGGGAGUACAUUAACAUUUAUACAUCGAUUUGUUGUUAUUUAUUUAAAGUAUUGUUUGAUGUUUGAUAACUUGAUUGUGUGACGUAGUUAAGAAUAACUUAAGAGGUUUGGCCCUACUGAGCGUAAACUCACCCCUAUAGAUUUUUGUUCAGGUUCGUACGAGGACACGUAUUUUUAGAAGGCUAACAGUGACAUUAGCUUACGUGAACAAGAGGCGAGAGUUAUGGAAGAUUAGAAGUGAGAUAGAUCGCAAGACCUUGUUUUGUCUUUGUAAUUGUGUUUGUUAUUGUAAAUGUUUUCUAUUUUUGACGAUUUCUGAAAAUGUAUUUGAGUUUGUUUUAUUUUAUUUUAUUUUUCCCACUCACGCCUCUUAUUCGUUGUCAAGUGCUUGGAAACCACCGACACCGGGUCUGGGUCGUUGUUAAGUGCUUGGAAACCACCGACACCGAGUUUGGGGUGUGACAGAUCUGGUGCUAUUUGUGAAUUUUGAGAAGUAACAACAAUUUACGUUUUAUCCAUUCGAUUUCAAUGAAAUGAUGUGGCAUAAUCCUAUGGCUUUCCAAGCAGUGGCUUCCCAGGCAGAGAAGCCAAGUCCAUAUUUAGCUUUGUUGUUUAUAUAGGAGUCUCUAUUUUCUUCCACAUACAAUGUGAUUUUUUUUUUUGGUAAGCGGGUUAAGGACUAAUGUUUACUCGUAUUACCCGAAAAUUUAUUAAUAACAAAAAAAUUGACACAAGUAAUUUUUUUCUACUAUUAUAAUCCAAGAUCUUGCCAGACAAUCGUACGUACAUAAGAACAAACUAAUGACCAAUUACAAAUAAAUUAAAGAAAACCUUAAGUUUCUUUAAAAACUUCAAUUUUUGAGCCUUUGAUUAAAUUUCACAAAAUCUCUUCUUUUUAUUACAAUAUAGCAUUAUAUUAGUUAACGUUUGGGGUUAUCUCUGAGAAAAGCGUUAUUCUUAAUUUUUCGAAAGAUAAUAACGGCAUGACGUUUUAUAUCUUUCUCAGAUCUACAUGUUUCAAAAAGCUUUAUCAUUUCUUCUCUCUCUCUCUCUCUCUCUCUCUCUCUCUCUCUCUCUCUCUCUCUCUCN
rnacentral:lncRNA from 1 species